rnacentral:rRNA from 1 species
UACGUAGGGUGCAAGCGUUGUCCGGAAUUAUUGGGCGUAAAGAGCUCGUAGGCGGUUUGUCGCGUCUGCUGUGAAAACUCGGGGCUUAACCCCGGGCCUGCAGUGGGUACGGGCAGACUAGAGUGCGGUAGGGGAGACUGGAAUUCCUGGUGUAGCGGUGAAAUGCGUAGAUAUCAGGAGGAACACCGGUGGCGAAGGCGGGUCUCUGGGCCGAUACUGACGCUGAGGAGCGAAAGCGUGGGGAGCGAAACAGGAUUAGAACCAGUACCGCGAGA